rnacentral:tRNA from 1 species
GACCUAGUAGCUCAGUUGGUAGAGCAGCGCCCUUUUAAGGCGUGGGUCGUAGGUUCAAAUCCUACCUGGGUCA